UUCUGGAAAUGAUUGUGUGGUUCCUGCUCAGCUCGAAAAGAUUGAGUUCCCAGACCUAAAUGUCGUGAAGGAGGAUGAGAUUAUGGUCUCAAAGUAUCUCGAGAUGGGGUCUUUGGACUCUCAGAACCCUAUAAAAACUGAGAAUGGCAAGUUGCUGCAUUCUGGAAAUGGUAACGAUAUUCCUUCUGAACUUGGAAAAAUCGAGUUCCCAGACUCUGAGAACCCUGUAAAAGCUGAUAAUGGCAAGUUGCUGCAGUUUGGUGCAGCUGUGCCUGGUACUGCAAUCUGUGCAGAUAAGCUGGAGGAACAUCAGGAUGAAAGCCCUCUAAGUUGUGUCUCAACCACAGGUUCCUCCACUGCCCUUUCUGCAACACAACAAUCAGUUUCUGAGCCAAGUUCUGAGCCGUCGGAGACCACUGUCGAGGCACCCCCAAGACAAAGCCAGAGGGAGAAAAGCCAAGAUGUUACCGAUGGUGAGGCUGAUUCUUCUGAAGCACUAGCAGCACCCAAGGAUGAAGUUGUCAAGCCUGUGAUCAGCAUUAAUCUUCAGCCGGAGCAGUCAGUUGUCCAACAGGACAUAGUUGACAUGU
rnacentral:lncRNA from 1 species